AUUUUCUCCUUGUUCUCCAUCUUUCGCAGCUGCCAAAGCGGACCGUGGGGAACGUGUUGACAUCUGAGGUCCCCAAGGCCGAUUCCGAUCCCUGCAGUCACCGAUGCUACCGCUUUUCCCAGAAUCUGCCCUUCCACGUCAGGGAGCAGCAGUUGGAAGAUGUGUUGAAGCGUCUUCAUCAGUGGAGUGUUCAGCACAAUGCAGCAACCCUGGAACCCUCACUGCAGCACAGCUCAGUAAGCCUGGUGCUGGGAUAACCCUGGAACCCUCAGAGGAGGCCAAGCCCCACACCAAAAAGAGCCUGUUGGAGUGCUGGCCUGGAUUUGGGAGGAGCCAAGUAGCCUGGAGCAGUGAGGUUUUUCCUUUCAGAAAUCCGUGCUGGGGAGGUUUUCCCUGGCUGUCCCAAGGGGAAGGAACAGCUCUGGAGUUUUUGCAGCCACAGGCUGGGGAUGCAUCCCCUGAAAACCAGUUCAGGAUCGUUCAUCUGACUCUGUCCCUGACCUGUGGCUUCCAGGGAGCCUUCUGGUCUUCCGGAUAUUCCCAGGAGAGGAUAUUCCACCACCUGACUUUUAAGCCAGGAAUUCCAAACCCACACCGUUCCAGGGGAAAGCUGGUGAAAGGAUAAAGAUGCAGAGGAACAAGUGUUGUAAACCCCCCUGCCUCCCUGACAAAGCAAACCUUUCUGCAAUCCCAGUAAAUCUCUUGGAGAAACUGUGGGAUCGUAAGGUUUCCUAGGAAAGGAAAACUAAGGACAGAGAUGAGGAAAGAGGCUUCCAAUUAAUAAUGAUUUGAUGGAGGAUGAGGAAGCCAGGCCUGCUGAGGAGGAAGAUGAGGAGGUGUGAGAGGAUGGAGACAGCGGCCACCAAAGGCUGGGGAAGGCACAGAUCCAGGAAAAUCCACUUAACUUGCCCCAUCUUUGCCAAAAGCUUUGGUGUUUGAGCAGCCAAACCCAAUGGGCUCUGGCCCCACCAGCCCAUACUGGAGGGCCCCUCAUCCUGCCUGUGGUGUGGGAUGAAUCCCCAAUUGUCCCCAGAGGGGGCUGCCCUGGUCCCUGCAGUGCCCAGCACCUGAGACACAGAGAGAGCCCUGUCCAAAGGGGCUCCUUGUCAGGAAUGUGGCAGCAGCCCCAGGAGCAGGCUGGAGGUGAGAACUGGGGCUGUGUUUGAGACUGACCAGGUCAGCUCAGUGUUUACCUGUGGGGGGAGUUUGGCCCCACAUGCUGAGUUGAAGCGGGAUCAGGGUGACAGAUGCUGCAUUUUGGGCACCCUGAGAGUUUCUCUCCCCCUUGGAGAUUUCCUGCGGGGAUGGGGCAGGGAGCAGAAUUAACCCUGCACCUCCCGUGAGCACUGCUGGCCUUUGUCUCUCUGUUGUGCCAUCAGCCUGUGGGAAUUUGCUGCUGCCGCUGCCACCCCACCUGGGGGCUGCGUGCUCCUGGCAGCCCUUCCCAGCCCCACACCCAAGCUCCAGCGCUGCCUCCAGGCUGUGUUGGGAGAGUUUGCUGGGAAUGUGCCUCAUCAUCCCUGGGAGUAUCCUUUCCUUCCAGAGUAGACGGAUGGAGCUUCUGGGCUUGUCAGCUUCAGAGUUUGCUUGCAAAAGUCACUGCAGGGAAGAAUGACAAGGAGGUUUGUCAGAGUGGUGCUGUCAGACCCCACCUGCCAGUCUGUGCUUUGGGUUGGAGGUUGUUGUGUAUUGGCCCUGCAGGGAAUGAAUGUCCCCUUCCCACCUCAGCCCAGCAGAUGCCAAGGGCUCUUCCUAGAGUACUUACUCCUUGCUUCCCUUUGGGAUAACUUAAUCUGCACCCUUCCAUGAGCAAUUCCUUGGCUUCUCCUGGAGAAAACCCCACGGCAGAGGCAGUCUGCAAAGGAGCCCAGAGCUGUGCUUGGAGCAGAGAGUGCUGAGAGCUGCGUGUGCCUCUGCUGCCCCAGGCUGGCAAUAUCCCCAUGGAACAGACUGGGAAAAUGGCAUUAGAGGGAGCACAAUCCCUUCCUGGAAGAGGUUUUCUCCUGUGCAGAUCAGGCACAGGGCAGGAAGGGAACUUUGGAGAUCAGCUGCUUUCCCCCAGAAAGCAUCACUCACACCAGCAUGGAUGACAUGACCUGUGCCUACUGCUCACGAUGCACCCGGCCAGAAUCAAGAGCAAAGAUGCUGGGAUUGCCUCUGGGCACAUGUGCUGAGCUCUCCCUGCAGGGAACUGUCAGGCCUUAACAGCUGUGAGGUUGUGUUCUUCUCAGUGGGGAACUGGAAAUAAUUAUUAAUUAAUUGCAGAAAUGUUUUCUGAACCUUUCUCCUUUCCUGGUAGAUCUUCUCCCUCUGCCUCUGAAUUUACAGCUGUUCCCUGGUGUCAUUGGCCCUGCCUGAAUUCCUUGCAGCUCCUCACUGGGAAAACCUGGGAUAACUUCAAGGGGACAGAGGAGACAUUUUUAGCUGAAAACCUGGGGUGACUGAGAGGGGACACAAGAAUUGUUUGUGUAGAAAAAUGGGAAGGGAUGUCGAGCAGAGCAAGGUGGCAUUUUUGAGGGAAAAGCUGAGGUGAUGUUUAGGGGAGAGAAUGCACAUUUUUGGGGCAGAAAAGAGUUAAUAUUGUACAGGAAGGAAAAACUGGGGGGUAAAACCUGAUGUAAUCUGUAGGGGACAGAAUGAAUAUUUUGGAGCAAAAAUGAGGUACUCAGUAGUAGACAAAGAAGGAAAAUUUUGGAGGCAAAACUUGACAAAGUCUCAAGAGCAGAGAAUGAACGCUUGGAGGGAAAAAUGAGGUGAUGAGUACUGAGCAUGUGGAGAAAACUUGGGGGCUAAAUCUGAGCUAAUCUCUAGGGGAGAGCAUGAACACACUGAGGUAACAUGAGGGAAUCAGUUGUGGGCAGAUAGGGAAACUUGUGUAAAAAUAAUAUUAAAUAAGCUGUAGAAAGAACAUUUUGAGGUAAAAAUGAGGUAAGCAGUAGUAGACAGAUGGAAAACUUUGGGGGUAAAUCUUGAUAGAAGCUACAUGGUAGAAAGUAAAUAAAUAUUGAAGGAAGAAUGAGGGAAUCAGUAGUGGACAGGUAGGGGAAUUUUGGGGGGUCAAACUUGAAAUAAUCUAAAGGUUGAGAAUGAAUCUUUUUUGGUAAAAAUGAGGUAAUAAGUUGUGGACGGUUAAGGAAAAUUUUGGGGGUUAAACUUGAGGUAAUCUCUAGGGAGAGUGUGACCACUGACAUAAACUGAGGCAAUCACUGGGGCUAGGCAAGGAAAUUUUGGGUGUAAAACUUGGGAAGAUCUGUAGGGCAAAGAAUGAACAUAUUGAGGAAGCAAUGAGGUGAUCAGUAGUCAAGAUGAGGUAGAAUGUGGGGGGCAAACCCUGAGGUAAUUAUGUAGGAACCAUAAGUGUUUUUGAGAAAAAAUCUGACCUAAUUUGUAGGGGACAGAAUGAACAUUUUGGGGGUAAGACAGACAUAACCUGCAUGGUUUUGGUUUUAAAAUCUAGUCAGUGUACAGGGGACAAAAUAGACAUUUUGGUAAUAAAAUCUGAGUUCAUCUGUAGAAGAAAGAACUCAUGUUUUGAGGUAAAAAGGAGGUGAUCAGAACUGGGCAGGUAGGGAAAACUGAGGGGGUAAAAUGUGAGGUCAUCUCUAGGAGAGAGCAGGAGCAUCCUGAGGUAAACUGAGGGAAUUGCUGUGGACAGGUGGGUAAAUCUGGCGGGUAAAACUUGAGGGAAUCUCCAUGGUAGAAAAUGAGUAUUUGGAGGUAAAAAUAAAGUACUCAGUGGUGGAGACGUACAGAAAAUUUUGGGGGUAAAAUCUGAGGUGAUCUGUAGCAGAGAGAAUGCACUUGAUGGGGUAAACUGAGGUAAUCACUUAUGGUCAGGUAGGGAAGUUCAGAGGGGUAAAAAUUGAAAGCAUCUGUAGGGCAAAGAAGGAAAAGAUUGAGGUGGAAAUGAGGAAAGAGGUAGUGGACAGGUGGGGAAAGUUUUGGGGGCAAAUCUUGUGGUAAUCUCCAGAGGAGAGAAAGAAUGCUUCCUUGUAAAAAAUGAGGAACUCAGAAGGAGACAGAUGGGGACAUUUUGGGGGUAAAAUCUCAGGUCAUCUCAAGGUGAGGGAAGGACUAUUUGGAGGUCAACUCAGGACUCACUGUGUCCUCCUUCCUUGGCAGCAGCUGGCAGGGAAGGGAGAAGAGGCCUCGGGCUGGAGAGGGGCAGGAGAAAGGCACUGUGGGCAAAGCACCUCCCUGGCAUCCCCAGGGCAGCUGUGGGGAACACAGUGGACACUUUGGGAGCAAAGGGAGGUGAUUGCAUUGUCCCUUUGGGGGAUGCUGGCAUUUAGAUCAUUCCAUCCGUUUGCCUGCUGACAUUUCCCAGCCCAGGGGCUUUGGCUGCCAGGGCAGCACAAAGAUUGUUCCCUGUGUGGUGUGCAGAUUUGGGGUUUGGCUUUGCUAGUUCAGAUGAAUUCUACCCAAAGCCCUGAAUUCCCUGCUGAAUUGCCACUGGAAUAGCCUCCCAGCGCCUCCUGGAGCAUGGAUAUUCCCAUGCAGAGCUGCCUAUUUAACACCAGGUGUGACAGGAACCAGCAGAGCUUCCAGGGAAGCUCAGCAGGGUCAGGGCAAGGACAGCUUCAUGUUCCAUAGAAUUUGCUGUUUGUAACCCUCAUCCCCCAGCCCCCCCCCCAACGUCUCUGGGGGCACCUGACAGAGUUCCCUGGAAUUCAGCUGCCUGCACCCCCCGAGCUCGGGCUCCAGGUGAUAUUUUAAAGCAGGAGAAGGUGCUGGCCGGACGCGCUCCCAGCCUGUGCUGAGGCAGCUCCUGUGCCCACGGGAGGACUUCUCUCCCUGCAGGAGCUGAUUUCAUUCCAGAGCCUCAGGAGUGGCCCCUGGAAGUUCUUUUCCCUCAGGAAAGGGAUGCACAUCCCUGCCUUCAGGGCACCUGCAGUGGGAGCCACCUGGGAAAGCUUUCCAUCAGUUGUGCAGUUCCAGCUGGCUCCCCAAAAACUCCCAACUCAAUCCAAACAGAUUUCUCUGACUCUGACCUUUCAUUUGAAGGCAUCUCUGAGGGCAUUGCUUGGCAUUUCAUUGCUGUGGGGGAAGCUUGCCUUGGCUUUAACGCUGCUGAGGGAUGAUGGCCUCAAGCUGGAAGGGAAGGCAUUUUGGGUGGCUGGGACAUAGCUGGUAGGUGUGUGGGAGGUCAGCACCGGGAAUUGCUGUCUGAACCCCUCUGCAAACAGCCCAUGCCAACAUUCCCCGGUGCCAGCUGUUCCUUGGGGCAUUUUUGGGGUGUCAGUGGGGUCUGUCAGAGCUGAAGCAUCUCUGGGUGCCUGUUCAGAGCAGCCCCUGGCCGAGGAGCCGUGGGCAGCCCUUUAUCCAUGUCCAUCCCAGCGCUGCCCGGGCAGCCCAGUGCCCAUUCCCAGGAUGUGUGUUUGGCACGCUGCGUGCCACGGGCAGGACACUGCAGGCACAGCUCCUCUCUGCAAAUCCAAAGCACAAGAGCUGCUGCUUCCCUUCCUGGGCCUCCCGGCCUUCUCCUUCCCCCUGUUCCCUGCCAGCUGGGACACACGGAAGGAGCACCAAGGAACACUCCUGGCAGUGAGCAGGAGUCUCUGAGAGCUCUGUGCAGCUCUGGGCCGGAAAAGCUGGCCCUGCCUCAGCAGCCACUGGGAUUUUGGGCUGUGAACACUCACCUGUGGGAAAGGCCCCUCUGCAGGCAGGAGCAGCCCUGACACUCUCCAGAAGAACUUUGGCCGUGGACCAAGUGAACCCUCAGGACCUGCCUUGCUCAUUUCUCCCUGGAAAGGGCCAUGGAACGAGCACCUUUACAGCUGUUGGGUAAAUCCUGGAAAGGGCAGGAAAUCAGGGUUAUGGGAAGAGUUCAGUGCUGUCACACAACUGCUCACCUGUGUUGUUCCAUGAUCAGGUGCUGGCCAUGGAGCUCUGGCCAUUGCAGGGGCUGGUGUGUAAAGCAGCAUUAGCAUAAAAGAAGGAGCUGUAUUUGUAUAGGAAUGGCCUUACUGGCACUUGGCGUUCCUAUCCCAGGCAGGACAUUGCCAGGAGCUGAGAUUGGCUUGGUUGGAGCAGGGUGCUGAGAGUGCCCAGGUGUGGGUUCAAUCGCCAGAGGAGCCAUUCACAUAAGGGUUCGACUUGGUGGUCUUUGUGUAUCCAUUCCCACUCAGGAUCUCCUGUGCUCUGGAAAUAAAGAAGAAACAUUUUUCACUGGA